UACGGGGGGGGCAAGCGUUGUUCGGAAUUACUGGGCGUAAAGGGCUCGUAGGCGGCCAACUAAGUCAGACGUGAAAUCCCCAGGCUCAACCUGGGAACUGCGUCUGAUACUGGAUGGCUUGAAUCCGGGAGAGGGAUGCAGAAUUCCGGGUGUAGCGGUGGAAUGCGUAGAGAUCCGGAAGAACACCGGUGGCGAAGGCGGUUAGCUGGGCAGUUGCUGACACUGAGGCGCGACAGCGUGGGGAGCAAACAGG
rnacentral:rRNA from 1 species